rnacentral:rRNA from 1 species
AAGGAAUAUUGGACAAUGGAGGCAACUCUGAUCCAGCCAUGCCGCGUGAAGGAAUAAGGCCCUAUGGGUUGUAAACUUCUUUUAGACGGGACAAAACCCCUUUACGUGUAAAGGGUCGAUGGUACUGUCAGAAUAAGCAUCGGCUAACUUCGUGCCAGCAGCCGCGGUAAUACGAGGGAUGCAAGCGUUAUCCGGAAUUAUUGGGUUUAAAGGGUGCGUAGGCGGACUAAUAAGUCAGUGGUGAAAGCCUGCAGCUUAACUGCAGAAUUGCCAUUGAUACUGUUAGUCUUGAGUACAGUUGAGGUAGGCGGAAUGUGUCAUGUAGCGGUGAAAUGCUUAGAUAUGACACAGAACACCGAUUGCGAAGGCAGCUUGCUAAGCUGUAACUGACGCUGAGGCACGAAAGCGUGGGGAGCAAACA